UAGUAACAAUAACCCUUUCUGGGUCGGUGUGAGGGGAGUGCGGAGAGGAUUUCUCCUCUCUGCCGAGCGAAUCUCUGCCGUCCAAUUCACAUGAAAAAAUAAAAAUCCCCACUUAAUCGCUCUAGGAUUUCCGAUCUCGAAUCUUCCUCAAUCUCAAUCUGAAACCAACCAAACAGUCCAUCCGUAUCUGGAUAUUAGUGAUGUAAAUUCCAGCAUAAAUAUCUGGUAGGGUUCUUUGACGAAUCCAGACGCAUUUGCAGAUCGCAAUCCAGAACAGGAAGAACGAAAUCCCGACCGAUUGUGAUUUCGUUCGAUCGGCAAUGGAACAAGAGAGCCAGAAAAGAGAGGCCGACGGCACUGGCAUCCGAUCCCCAAACAUGCCGAUCCUCUGCUCCAACAACUGUGGAUUCUUCGGCAGCGCUGCGAAUCGUAAUCUCUGCUCCAAAUGCUACCGAGAUCUCUUUCUGCAGAAAGCCAAGAUCGACGGUGACGAUGGCUCUGCUGUGGAACAGAAGCCAGUUAAGAUUGAUGGCGGGGAUCAAGUGGGGACUGAUAAUUCUGAUGAUCCUGCGGGGAAGGAGCCUCCGUCGGCUAACCGCUGUGGGUCGUGCAGGAAGCGGGUCGGUCUCACCGGAUUCAAGUGCAGGUGUGGGCAGACGUUCUGCUCCCUCCAUCGGUACUCAGACAAGCACGGGUGCCCUUUUGAUUACAAGGGCGCAGGCCAGGAAGCGAUCUCGAAGGCAAAUCCUGUGGUGAAGGCAGACAAGGUCGAGAAGAUCUGAUCAGUGGAGAUAAGCGUAAUUUCUUACCCACGACCAGGGUUACUCUGUGAUUUAUGCUGGUGUUGUUGAUAAUGGAUUUUGGUCACCCAGUUUGGACAUGGGUGUCUCUCCAAAUCCAGAAAUUUCAGUACUAGAAGCUGCUUUAUCAAGUGCAACAUGGUAUUAACACCAUCCUUGAUGAAGGAACAGGUGUUAGCUUGAGUCCAGUGAACCAAAUCUCAAGUCCAUGGCCAUGGUCUCCUCAGCAAAAUGUGACACGCAUCUAUGGAAACUACAUCACCCGACACUUCAUCCUGGCACUCAAAUUUGCUAAAGAAGGAUAUUAAGCACCUGCAGUUAAUAGAGCUUUAAACCUGUUAUGAACUAAUAUGUUAAGGUCAUGGGUAUUCAUGUUCUUUCAGUUUUAGUUUA